AGAUGAUCAAUUACGGAGCUAGUUGUGUGGUCUGGUCCGGUUGAAUUAGCUUCGAAUCGUUAAUUUAUGACCGGUUUAACCGCACUUGGUCUUCGUACCCAAAAAGUCGCUUCUUCUCCAACUAAACCGGAAUUGUGACCGCAUGGGUCAUCUCCAACUUCUUGUACUGGACUGGACACCACAAAACCCUCAGAACAGUCCACUCCAGAAUCUUUCUUCAAAACCUACGCCGCGACUCCGCUCUAGGUGUUAAGCUCUUGCGCUGCUAUAAAAGAUGUGACACAGCACGCAAGGUGUUCGACGAAAUUCCCGAGUGAAUAACGGGUCUUGCUCUGGGAAUGUUAUCAGUGGGAAGAAGAUAUGCUGCAUUAUAUAUUCAAGGUUGCAUUCACAUGUUAGAGACACAAAAAAUAAAAUGCUGGAAUCUCCAUUCUCCGUCGAAGCUUCUCGAGCAAGAUGCUCCUUCCUCUCAGUUUCCUCCUCUUCAGAGAAACUUAGAUCAGCUGGAAGCCUUGUCGAAGAAGCUAAAGGCUAAAACCCUAAGGAACGAAGCUCCUUCUCAAUCUAUUGCCGCCACUAGACUUCUCGCUUGGGAGGGAAUCAAUGCUGAGCAACUAGCUCGUGAUCUCAAAUAUUUCUAGUUGAAGAAGACAACAUUUGAGGAUGUGUUCCCUGCUGAGGCUACAAGCGUUGAAGAAUACCUACAACAGGUGCAUGAAAUGGCUAUGGUAUCAGCUAUACAGGAAGCUCAAAAGGAUAAUGUUCCAAGCUUUAAUGAUUUAUAUGAUGAAAGUCCUGGAGGAGGAUUGGAGAAAAGAAAAACGUGACUUCCUUCAGAGCCUUAGCAGAAUAUCAAUGUUACCUUAAACGAAUAUGAUUGAUGCGAGCAGAGAGGCUAAUGCUGGCCAACUAGUGCCGGUGGGUUCAGGUUCUCGAGCAUCGUCCACACUGGGCAAAGAACUUGUGGCUCCGGCUAAUAUACCCAUUCAUGAGAAAAAAAAAAAAAAAAGCAUACGUCUAUGGAGAGGUUGUGAAGAAACUUAACAUGUCAAGAGAACGAGGCUUGCCAUUUAAAUUCGGACAAGCCUCGGACAUCGGUGAGCUUGGAAAAUGUUUUUAUGUUUAAGAGAAUGAAACCAAGAAGUGGAGUUCACCGUCAUAGGCACAAGCAUGUUUUUUUUGUACACAUUUCAUUCGCAAGUCCCUGGAAUGUAUUUUUCAAAAAAAUAAAAAAAAGUCCCUGGAAUGUGUUUCAAACUAAGAAUGCUGUUUUCAGAAAAUAAAAUGCAGGAAUCUCUAAUCUUA